CCUACGGGUGGCAGCAGUGGGGAAUAUUGGACAAUGGGGGGAACCCUGAUCCAGCCAUGCCGCGUGUGUGAAGAAGGCCCUCGGGUUGUAAAGCACUUUCAGUGAGGAAGAACGCCUGGUGGUUAAUACCCAUCAGGAAAGACAUCACUCACAGAAGAAGCACCGGCUGACUCCGUGCCAGCAGCCGCGGUAAUACGGAGGGUGCGAGCGUUAAUCGGAAUUACUGGGCGUAAAGCGCGCGUAGGUGGCUUGAUAAGCCGGUUGUGAAAGCCCCGGGCUCAACCUGGGAACGGCAUCCGGAACUGUCAAGCUAGAGUGCAGGAGAGGAAGGUAGAAUUCCCGGUGUAGCGGUGAAAUGCGUAGAGAUCGGGAGGAAUACCAGUGGCGAAGGCGGCCUUCUGGACUGACACUGACACUGAGGUGCGAAAGCGUGGGUAGCAAACAGGAUUAGAUACCCGAGUAGUC
rnacentral:rRNA from 1 species